CCUGGGCCCGGCGCGCAGCCGCAGCCGCAGCUCCAGUCCGCUGGCCGUCCGACCCAGGCACGGCUCGACACAGCUGAGCUCGAGCCGCGCCGACUCGGCGCAGAGCGACACGAGCGCGCUGCUCAGCUCGCUGACGCGCGACAUGAGCGUCUCGCCGGCCGGCUCCUCGCUGCACAGCUACGCAUCGGCCCUCAACGCCAAGGAGGGCGGGGAGCGCUCGGCCGGCCGGUCAGUGGCCCAGACGGGCACUCAGACGUCCCCGGACGGCGCGCCGGCGCCGUCGGCCUUCAGUAUCGGCGGCGGCGGGCGGCGCGCCGACGAGGCGCCGCGCCUCUCAC